CUGGACAAGAGGACAAGAUGGGACCAAAUGGAGGACAAGAUGGGACCAACUGGAGGACAAGAUGGGACCAACUAGAGGACAAGAUGGGACCAACUGGAGGACAAGAUGGGACCAACUGGAGGACAAGAUGGGACCAACUGGAGGACAAGAUGGGACCAACUGGAGGACAUGAUGGGACCAACUGGAGGACAAGAUGGGACCAACUGGAGGACAUGAUGGGACCAACUGGAGGACAUGAUGGGACCAACUGGAGGACAAGAUGGGACCAACUAGAGGACAUGGUGGGACCAACUGAUGGGACCAACUGGAGGACAUGAUGGGACCAACUGGAGGACAUGAUGGGACCAACUGGAGGACAUGAUGGGACCAACUGGUGGACAUGAUGGGACCAACUGGAGGACAAGAUGGGACCAAUUGGAGGACACAAAGGACCUGGGGGACACCAACAGGAAGCUGUCUCUAGAUCCUUCCUGUCUGAGGUCAGGUCUCCAUCAGCUGCUUUAAUCCCAGAUUAUCUAAGAUCCACCACAGAAGAAGAAGCAGAGUCCUCCUGGUGUCCGCCAUGUUGGAGGCUCCAGCUGCUCUGGAGGAUCCAGAGAUCAGCUGAUCUUCAUAUUUCUCCAUGAAUCAGCCAAUCAGAGAAGAGCUCUGAGGAGUCAGUGGUCAGCUGACUGACUGCUCAGGACUCCACUGCUGAAGGAAAGUUUGGUGGAAGGAUAAAUGUCAGUGAUUCACUGGGAGGAUCUGAGACUGGAGAUGAAGAGUCUGGAUGUCCUUGAACACACCAUUCAGGAGGAACAUGAUGGUUCUGGACGGGAUGAUGGUCCAGAUCCUCUCUCCAUCAUCACUGAUUCUGUCUCCUGACCUUCUGAGUCCAACAGCAGAUUGAUUAUCAUCUAUAAUUAAUUAAUGAGGGCUGAUCAGUCUCAGUUCCUCUGGUGUGAAUCAACGUCCCAUUAAUAAAUGUCUCAGUGUUUAAUGUUGCUGCAUCUCCUGUUAUAACCCUGAACCCGUUCUGGUUCCUGUAGGACGGGAACCUUUGACACUGGAAUGGAGUCGGUACCUAUUAAUGGUACUUGUGUGUAGCUUUUUAAUAAUAAACAUUAUUUAAUUUAAUAUUUAUUUUUCAAUAUGUAAAAUGUAAACUUAUGAAGACAGCAUCCAGCUCUUUCUAUUCUAACAUCAGUUAUUAUCUUUAGAGAUGAAACUCCUCAGAACAAACGGAGUGUUUUGUCCUUCAGCCCAGAUUAAAAUCCAGCUCCAUGUUUUCCCUGGCAGACGUCACCUUCACCAGAUGUAUCAAACAUUUGUCUGUUCCUGGCUACAGAUGAAGAGUCGGAGGCUAACAGAGGCUAAUGCAGCAGCUAGAAGUCUCAGGUUGAUGAAAACUGUGCCUUAGGAAAAAUCUUGUGGUUAACCAGGAGCUUUGUUCCCAAACUAGUCGAGUUUCUGCUGCUGGCCGUUUAUGUCGCGUUGCAAUGAGGAUUUCAACCAGAGGAUUAUAAUCCUGGCAGACCUGAGUGAAGUGGCCCCCAAAUCAGACAAAAUGGGUUUCAAUCAACUGAGCUACAUUUGUGCUGGUUUGUGCAGGAAACAUUUUCAUUUGUACUGUUAUCAAUUCAAAGAUAAUAAAACUUUAUAGAGGUCAUCAGAGGUCAACUCUGUCUGAUACUGUACUGAAAUAGUUACAGUUUUGGAAAAUAUG